rnacentral:siRNA from 1 species
GCAAAAGGUGUCUUGCAUGGUAAG